ACGAACGCUGGCGGCCUGCCUAACACAUGCCAGUCGAACGAGACCUUCGGGUCUAGUGGCGCACGGGUGCGUAACGCGUGGGAACCUGCCCUUAGGUUCGGAAUAACUCCCCGAAAGGGGUGCUAAUACCGGAUAAUGUCUUCGGACCAAAGAUUUAUCGCCUUUGGAUGGGCCCGCGUUGGAUUAGCUAGUUGGUAGGGUAAAAGCCUACCAAGGCGACGAUCCAUAGCUGGUCUGAGAGGAUGAUCAGCCACACUGGGACUGAGACACGGCCCAGACUCCUACGGGAGGCAGCAGUGGGGAAUAUUGGACAAUGGGCGAAAGCCUGAUCCAACAAUGCCGCGUGAGUGAUGAAGGCCUUAGGGUUGUAAAGCUCUUUUACCCGGGAUGAUAAUGACAGUACCGGGAGAAUAAGCUCCGGCUAACUCCGUG
rnacentral:rRNA from 1 species